rnacentral:misc_RNA from 1 species
AGUGGAGUUAGAGAAAACGAGAUUGUUGGUUUUGGAGGCAGCGGACCAGCUUGAUCGACUUGGGAAUAAGAAGGCCCGUGGGACUAUUGCAAUGGCCAAGGUAGCAGCUCCAAACAUGGCACUCAUGGUGCUUGACAUGGCAAUGCAAGUGCAUGGUGCAGCUGGUCUAUCAUCUGACACCGUUUUGUCACAUCUUUGGGCUACAGCUAGAACUUUGAGAAUUGCAGAUGGUCCUGACGAAGUCCACUUGGGUACCAUUGCCAAGUUGGAAUUGCAGAGAGCUAAGCUUUGAAAACUUUGGAGUAAUUAGCUCUUUUUUUUUUUAAUUAAUUGAAGAUAAAGAGGGCAAAAAAUAAGUUACAACAAAAAAAAAAAUCUGAUUUGAGAGAUAAAUGGUGGAUCUUUGUAAUUACUAAUAAGUUCCAAACAUUUCUUUGAUGUGUAAAAGAGAAGAAUAAUGG